AUUGAACGCUGGCGGCAGGCCUAACACAUGCAAGUCGAACGAGUGGCGGACGGGUGAGUAAUGUCUGGGAAACUGCCUGAUGGAGGGGGAUAACUACUGGAAACGGUAGCUAAUACCGCAUACCAUCGGAUGUGCCCAGAUGGGAUUAUCUAGUAGGUGGGGUAAUGGCUCACCUAGGCGGCGAUCCCUAGCUGGUCUGCGAGGAUGACCAGCCACACUGGACCUGAGACACGGGCCAGACUCCUACGGGAGGCAGCAGUGGGGAAUAUUGCGCAAGGGGCGCAAGCCUGAUGCAGCCAUGCCGCGGGUAUGAAGAAGGCCUUCGGGUUGUAAAGUACUUUCAGCGGGGCGGCGUUACCCGCAGAAGAAGCACCGGCUAACUCCGUGCCAGCCGCCGCGGUAAUAC
rnacentral:rRNA from 1 species